AAACUUCACGUGAAGAAAUUGACGAAAAAGAAAAUUGUUCUAUUUUUUCAUUUAUUUGGCGUGAAUUCAGUGUCACCAACCUGUGUCCAUUUGGCGGGAAGUGGAAGUAGAGCUGUAGAGCUUUUUGUUUAUUAUUAUUUGUUGAGAGUUGAGGGUGAGUCUUUCAUGUUCAUGACAACCUAAAAAUUUUGAUUGGAAAAUGCAUAUAAGAUGAGGGGGUGGGAAAAUGGAAAUUAGUGGCUUUUUUGCAGUUCUGUCUGUUAGUUUUGCUCUGGCUGGGUCUUUUUUGUUUAAACAAUUAUAAUCAGCGGAAAGUGGUCUACAAAAAAACCAGGAAGGAAACGUAUUAUAGCCUUGUUGUGGCUAUGAAAGGCAAAAGAAAGAUACCUAUAAAAAGUGUAUUGACUAGUUGGAAGAAACUCCACAUUGUCGAUGCAUAAUAAGAUAUUACUUUAUAAACAAAUAUCAAGACCUAGGAAUGGAACCUGGAUAAUAUAGUCAUCAAGAAGAUAGCAGGAGGUCAUGAGCAACAACAACUUCAUAAGUAUGAGAAUAUUGAGGAAAUCCAGCUCCUCGAUAUCUACUACUGGACAAACUAGAAGAUUGAAGAGGACAAAGCCUUUUGAACUAGUUUGAGUGAUAGGUGAUAGUGAAAAAGCAGAGCGUAGUGCUUGUGUGCCUGUGUAUGUUAGAAUAGUGCACGAUCUUGUUAGAUUAGAUAAGAGAUGCUAUAGGGUAAGCUCUUCAUUUUAAGGAACAGUAGUAAUUUAGGUUAAAUUAAAAUUGCUCAUUGGUCAGUUAUGACCAGAUUGUAAUUCUCUGAUGUUUGGCAAAAAGGGCUGAAGUCAGAAUUGCACAUCAAUAAUGUUUUGAUGAUUUCUGGACCAUAAAAAAAGUGUUGCAUACUUAAACUGUAUGUACCAAUAAAAAGAGCCGAUUUUUCUGGUCCAGAAAUCAUCAAAACAUUAUCGAUGUGCAAUUCUGACUUAAGCCCUUUUUCCCAAACAUCAGAGAAUUGCAAUGUACAAUUCAAUACAAAUGAAUCAUCAUCGUAGUGAUGAUUAUGGAAAAAAAUAUAUAUAUAUAGAAAUAUAUAUAUUUUGUGCAAUAAAAAUGUUUAUAUUUA